rnacentral:rRNA from 1 species
GGGUUGUGAGGUUAAGCGACUAAGCGUACACGGUGGAUGCCCUGGCAGUCAGAGGCGAUGAAGGACGUGCUAAUCUGCGAUAAGCGUCGGUGAGGUGAUAUGAACCGUUAUAACCGGCGAUUUCCGAAUGGGGAAACCCAGUGUGUUUCGACACACUAUCAUUAACUGAAUCCAUAGGUUAAUGAGGCGAACCGGGGGAACUGAAACAUCUAAGUACCCCGAGGAAAAGAAAUCAACCGAGAUUCCCCCAGUAGCGGCGAGCGAACGGGGAGGAGCCCAGAGCCUGAAUCAGUGUGUGUGUUAGUGGAAGCGUCUGGAAAGGCGCGCGAUACAGGGUGACAGCCCCGUACACAAAAAUGCACAUAUUGUGAGCUCGAUGAGUAGGGCGGGACACGUGGUAUCCUGUCUGAAUAUGGGGGGACCAUCCUCCAAGGCUAAAUACUCCUGACUGACCGAUAGUGAACCAGUACCGUGAGGGAAAGGCGAAAAGAACCCCGGCGAGGGGAGUGAAAAAGAACCUGAAACCGUGUACGUACAAGCAGUGGGAGCCUCUUAAUGGGGUGACUGCGUACCUUUUGUAUAAUGGGUCAGCGACUUAUAUUCUGUAGCAAGGUUAACCGAAUAGGGGAGCCGAAGGGAAACCGAGUCUUAACUGGGCGUUAAGUUGCAGGGUAUAGACCCGAAACCCGGUGAUCUAGCCAUGGGCAGGUUGAAGGUUGGGUAACACUAACUGGAGGACCGAACCGACUAAUGUU